GAUGAACGCUAGCUACAGGCUUAACACAUGCAAGUCGAGGGGUAACGAGAGGAAGGCUUGUUUUCCUUGUCGACGACCGGCGCACGGGUGAGUAACGCGUAUCCAACCUGCCCCCAACUAGGGAAUAACCUUGCGAAAGUAAGACUAAUACCCUAUAAUUUCCUCAGAUGUCAUCUGACGAGGAAUAAAGAUUUAUCGGUUGUGGAUGGGGAUGCGUCUGAUUAGCUUGUUGGCGGGGUAACGGCCCACCAAGGCAACGAUCAGUAGGGGUUCUGAGAGGAAGGUCCCCCACAUUGGAACUUAGACACGGUCCAAACUCCUACGGGAGGCAGCAGUGAGGAAUAUUGGUCAAUGGGCGGAAGCCUGAACCAGCCAAGUAGCGUGCAGGAUGACGGCCCUAUGGGUUGUAAACUGCUUUUAUACAGGAAUAAAGUUAGCCACGUGUGGUUAUUUGUAGGUACUGUAUGAAUAAGGACCGGCUAAUUCCGUGCCAGCCGCCGCCGUAA
rnacentral:rRNA from 1 species